GGCUACGGCCAUAUCACGAUGAAUGCACCUCAUCCUGUCCGAUUUGAGAAGUUAAGCAUCGUCGAGCCACAUCAGUACUGAGGUUGGAGACAACUUGGAAACCUGUGGUGCUGUAGUCU
rnacentral:rRNA from 1 species